GGGCCUGUGGUCUAGCGGUUAUGAUACAACCUUCACACGGUUGUGGUCGCCAGUUCGAAUCUGGCCGGGCCCA
rnacentral:tRNA from 1 species